UGUGCCCCCCAGGCGUGGGGUAGGGGGUGAGCAGCCCGGUGACGUUACGGUUCUGGGUGCCGGGCCUGGAGCAGAGGUUUGCGGUGGAGCGGGAGAAGCAGAGUGGAGCGGCCAUCGCCUGCUGCUGUGUGGUGCUGGCCUUCAUCACCCUGGUGCAGCUCAUUGUACAGCCACGACUGUGGAUGAAUUACGUCACCUUCCUGGUCGGGGAGAUCCUGCUGCUCAUCCUCACAUUCCUGUCACUGGCUGCCAUCUUCCCCAGGACGUUUCCACACACGCUGGUCGUCUUCUCCACGUGGAUCGACCGGACACGUUGGGCACGCAACUCCUGCGCCGUCUCCGCCUCACUACUGCUCACACUCGCCCACGCGACCAACAUGGUG